rnacentral:rRNA from 1 species
UGUAAGCGUAUACCAAAGUUGUUGCAGUUAAAACGCUCGUAGUCGGAAUUUGGCAGUUCCGGAUGUGUGCACGUCGUGUGCGCACUUCGCGGGGAUUGCUUUUGUGGUCUUGCGUAGGAUGAGGCACUUUUAUUAGUGAACGUCCUCACGCAACCACUUUUUACUGUGAGAAAAUCAGAGUGCUCAAAGCAGGCAUUUGCCGUGAAUGUAUUAGCAUGGAAUAAUAGAAUAGGACUUGGUUCUAUUUUGUUGGUUUUUUGGGACUGAGUAAUGAUUAAGAGGGACAGUUGGGGGCAUUUGUAUUUCGGUGCUAGAGGUGAAAUUCUUAGAUUACCGAAAGACAAACUGCUGCGAAAGCGUCUGCCAAGGAUGUUUUCAUUGA